rnacentral:lncRNA from 1 species
UGUUGUUACAAGUUUUAUUAGCCAUAGACAAAAAGAAAGAGAAUCAAAGCAACUCACUAUACAAUAGUAUUAAAUUAUAAGAAUCAUAUGAGGUCUUCUACAGGGUGUCAAAUAGCAUCUGUGACUAAAAUAAAACUGGUAUCAAAAACAAAACACAGGGCCUGGCCCCAUGGCCGAGUGGUCAAAGUCCCAUGUGCUCGCCUUUGGCAGCCCACGUUCUCGGGUUCAGAUCCCAGGUGUGGACCUACUCCAUUCACCAACCACGCUGUGGAGGUGUCCCACAUACAGAAAAAAAAAGUAGAGAAAGAUUGGCACAGAUGUUAGCUCAGGGCUAAUCUCCCUCAGCAAAAAAAAAAAAAAAACAAAAAAACCCACACAAAAAAAGAAACCUACAUAUCUUCCAAAAUUCCACUAAAAAAGAUGUGUCUGUCACCUAAGACGCCAAGUCACAUAGUCUAUACUGGUUUUUAACACUGAAAUAUGGAUUGAGCACUUUUUCCCAGUCAUGACACUGAGCGCUUUCUAUUCGUUAUCUCAUUAACGUCUCAUAACAAACACUAUUGGGUUCCAUAACUUUUGUCAUUUUUACUUACAAAGAAUUCAGCGCUCAAAGAAGUCAAGAAUUACUUUGCCCCUGAGAGGACAGGCGUUGUGAACUCUCUGAUUUGACAUCCCAGGCUCUCAAUCACUACCUUUCCUCCUACCACAAGCUCAUGAUGUGUUCUCACGCUCAAACAGUUUAUUCAUCGACCAAAACUGCAUGGUUUCUCAGAGAAAACAAUUGUGUGGAGAGGAUUUGAUGACAAUGCUGUUUCCCGGGUUGAAUAAUAUGUAAAGCCUUAACCGAGGUGUAUCCAACACUUUGGCAUGAAUACAAGAAGACUUACGCAUUCCCAAGUAGUUACAGGUGUAAAAUGUGUCUACAAACAUAUAGGUCCCGGGGCCAGCCCGGUGGCACAGUGGUUAAGUGCGCACGUUCCACGUCGGCGGCCCGGGGUUCGCCAGUUCGGAUCCCGGGUGUGGACAUGGCACUGCUUGGCAAAAAGCCAUGCUGUGGUAGGGUCCCACGUAUAAAGUAGAGGAAGAUGGGCACGGAUGUUAGCUCAGGGCCAGCCUUCCUCAGCAAAAAAAGAGAAGGAUUGGCAGCAGUUAGCUCAGGGCUGAUCUUCCUCAAAAACACACACACACACACACACACACAUAUAUAUAUAUAUGUCCCUUCUGAGUCUCCAUCUAGAAUUAGAGAAGAAAUAAUUGGUUUCGAUAAAAAUAAUAUUUUGAAAUCCACUAUAUGUUUAAAGGAAAAAAUUUAAUCUAAGUAAAUAAUACCUAUAUGAUGUUAAUGCAGAGCAGGCUGGCUGGGUUCCGUGUACACAAGAACUUCAAGCUCAGAGGUAAAACGGCUCGCUAACAAAUGCCCUCUCCCCUGACGGCCAGGAUCGCCAGGCCUCUCACGCCACGUGAACCAGCGCCAGUUUUAAACCACGCACCUUCCAUCAGCCGGUCUCCUCAGCAAAAAUUCAGCUCAAGGACUCCACGUGGAUAUCUCACUGGGGACAUUUCCAAUACCCAUGGGGACCACCGUCAUGGCCACGGCCACUUCUCACCCUGACUUCCAGGGGUCACCAGACCCCAAGCCACCAGGACAGGACACAGAGGUGGGUCCGCAUGGGGCGGGGGUCCAGAGCCAGCAGCACAACUGAAAGGCAGCGAUGGGAGAGAGCGAGAAAGGCCUUCUUCAUUCUCUUCUCCCUUCUCUCUGGUCUCUCUGCAUACAGUACUUGAUCAUUCUGACGCUGUGUUCCGACAUUUCAACUGAAAUAAACAGGUGGCCAUCUGAUUCUGGCAAAUAGUUUUCCCUUUUAUAAAACUUUUUCUUCCAGAGAAAUUAAACCUUGGUAUUUAGCCUCAUUAACAUUCUGACGUAAACAACUGAACUAACUAGAUUAUAAUGUGCUGAUCAAGGGGAGAUAUGUACAUAUAUAGCCAGCUUUCUACUCAUCUCUCUUGUCUUCGUAGGUCCUGGGCCAGAGGUACAUUUGUUCUGGGACCGCCCCUCACAGACACCAAGUCCUUCUAUCUAAAGAGUCUCCAAGGCUCCAGGAAACAUCUUGGAGUUUUCAACGUUGCCACCCUAAGGAAAAUGGAUAAAAGCAUUUACCCAGAAAUCAGUCUUCUAACAAACUAACAAUGUAUCGCCAAGGUAUAGGGGGGCACAUUUUUAAAUAAUCUUGACAGUUGUUUCAAAGUGAUGAAAAGCCUUAAGAACAGCCAAAAUCAC